AUGUGGGACGCCACCUCAGCAUGGCUUGAUGAGUGGUGCUGUGUCCGCACCCAGGAUUCCAACCGACGAAACACUGGGCCGCCUGCAGCGGAGCGUGCGAACUUAACCACUCGGCCACGGGGCCAGCCCCACAUCUCUCCAGAUUUUGAGGGGGUUGUCUCUAAAAGAGGUAAUUUUCCUCAAGAAAACCGCCAGUUUUGGAGGCUCUGGUUUGUCACUGAAAUGCAGAACCUGAAUCUGACACACAUUUUUUUGCAGUAAGGAAAGAAAUGGUAAGCAAACGUUAGCUCUUUUACUCAAAAUAGCAUUUAUUGCGUAUCUACCUUGCACCAAAAAGUGAGCAUUACAAUAGGUGGUUGGAUUACAAAGAUGGAAAGGGUAGAUUCAGCCUUAAAAGAGUAUAGAAAAGAAUACAACAAAUUACAAUCGCAUGAGAUAGAGGCUCUAUUCCACAGGUACGUGCCAGGCACUCUGAGAGAUCAGACGAAGGAGCCACAAACGCAGGGGACAGACGUCAGCACAAGUUCCACAAAGGCGCUGACUUGUGAGCUGGGCCUGGCAGUGGUCAGUGAAGAGGUCCUCAGGGAGCCAAAGGCGGGCUAGGAGGGCAUGGGAGGACAACUUUCCACUUUGGCAUUAAGUCUCAAGUCAGACUAUUAGAAUGACAAUUCCUUAGAAGCUGACACCCUGUUUGAUUCAUCUUCCUAUGUCCCAGGGACUUUUCUAAACCCUUGCCCUCAGUGGAGCCCCAAGUAACAGUGGUGUUUAAUUCAUUCCCUGGUCUGAAGGGAUUCAGCAGCUUUCCAUUAAUUAUGAAGAAAUCCACCCCCUCUCCUGGAUGACGAAGCCCCGUGAGAUCUGUACCUCUCUUGGCUUGCUCUUCCCUUCCCCAAUUUGACUGUAUCACUCAUUCUGUGACUGGCUAUUUCUCAUUCUUUAGGUUUCCAUGUAAACGUCCUCUCCUCAGAGAGGUCCUGCCUGAUAGGCUUGUCUAAGCAGCCUCCUCAUACUCCGCUCUGAUUUUCUCUAUUAGAAUAUUCUGUUACUAAAAUAUUUAUUCAAUAAAUUAAGUGUUGAUUACA
rnacentral:lncRNA from 1 species